GAUGAACGCUGGCGGCGUGCCUAAUACAUGCAAGUCGAGCGAAGCGGGGACGGGUGAGUAACACGUGGAUAACCUCCUAUAAGACUGGGUUAACUUCGGGAAACCGGAGCUAAACCGGAUAAUUAUCGCUGGCUCCGCGCUGCAUUAGCUAUUUGGUAAGGUAACGGCUGACCAAGUCAACGAUGCAUAGCCGACCUGGGAGGGUAGUAGGCCACCCUGUAACUGAGACACGGUCCAGACUCCUACGGGAGGCAGCAGUAGGGAAUCUUCCGCAAUGGGCGAAAGCCUGACGGAGCAACGCCGCGUGAGUGAUGAAGGUCUUCGGAUCGUAAAACUCUGUUAUUAGGGAAGCGGUACCUAAUCAGAAAGCCACGGCUAACUACGUGCCAGCCGCCGCGGUAAUAC
rnacentral:rRNA from 1 species